UGCCUAAUCAAAUAGAACCCUUAUGGACUUGCUAGUUGAUAAGGUAAAUAUCCAGCCCACUAAAUGCUAGGCGUAAUGAGGAUAAGGGCCUCCAAAAAACUUCUUUUCGUUCUAUGAACUUUAAGGUGUAUGAAGUCUCAUAGUUAACUCUUGCAAUGGAACGAUAGAGACUCCAUUUCACUUAGGUUGAUUUAAUUUAGACCGGAGGCAGACCUAAGUCAAGGUAAUCCUCCUUUGAAACACUUUGGUAUUGCUCCUAGUUAGAUCAUAAUACAAAAAAUCAAUCAGAGCACAGGGAGCCAUCUCAUUAUCUUUCCGUAAAGAAAAACUAUUGUGGACUAACUGAUCUUUAAAUCAGUUUAUGAAAGAGCCCAAUGCAAAAAAAUGCAUGUUGGGUCUUUGAAACAGUUCAAAUCAUUUCGAUAAUAAUCCGUUUGAUCUGUUUUACCGAGAAGGUCUACGGUUCGAACCUGUAUAGCCCUAAUAUGCCCUUUUUUAGAUUUUAGGAUCUCUAUCCUAUGUUUUCUUUAGUUUAGUAUAGUUUUCAUUUUCUCAUUAGUAUUUGUUUAUAGACUGGAUAGGCGCCUGCGACAUAGAAUAGAGAUAAAAGCAUUACCAAAGGCUCAUUCAUCAAAAAUCAAAAUCAUACAGACAGGAAAAGAAAAACGAAUUUCUAUCAAAUCAAUAGAAGAAAGGAUCCUUUCCCUGAUUUGAAUCCCGUCCUCCUUCAAAUAGGAUAUCUCUAGACUUCCCUAUAAUAACUGCAAUGAUUUUAUCCAUUUUGCGAAUUCCUACUUUGUUUUAAGUAUAUUUAUUACUUUGUUUAUAGAUACAUUAUGUAAAUUGAUCAACUUUAAAUAGAAAAAAUAAAGUAAAGAGUAAAUAAGAAAACAGAAUAUUCUGUCUCAUAGUUCUGAAAUAGAGUUCUUUAUUUUUAUUUUAUAGUAUUACUUCUCAUUAAUUCUACUGCAUAGAUUAGUCCUACUAUCUUAAUUAGGUUCUAAUUUAGUAGUAUUCUCAUUUUUAUUUAAUAGUCUCUUAUUAUUUUAUUAUUAAAUAUUAAAUAAAGGAUAGAGCUAUUCUUUUUUCUAGAGAUUCUAGAGAAAGCAAGACAAAGUGAAACGAGAAAGUUUUCUUUAUAUAAGAAUUAGAUCUACAUACACCAUAUCUAAAUAGAAUGGAAAUCCAAAAGAAAGGGAGUUGGGAUUCCAUUGGAUGAAUCUUUAAAGAAGAUGCA